rnacentral:rRNA from 1 species
GUGGGGAAUUUUCCGCAAUGGGCGAAAGCCUGACGGAGCAAGACCGCGUGAGGGAGGAAGGCUCUUGGGUUGUAAACCUCUUUUGUCAGGGAAGAACACAAUGACGGUACCUGAAGAAUCAGCAUCGGCUAACUCCGUGCCAGCAGCCGCGGUAAUACGGAGGAUGCAAGCGUUAUCCGGAAUUAUUGGGCGUAAAGCGUCCGCAGGUGGCACUUCAAGUCUGCUGUCAAAGACCGGGGCUUAACCCUGGAAAGGCAGUGGAAACUGAAGCGCUAGAGUGUGGCAGGGGUAGAGGGAAUUCCCGGUGUAGCGGUGAAAUGCGUAGAGAUCGGGAAGAACAUCGGUGGCGAAAGCGCUCUACUGGGCCAUAACUGACACUCAGGGACGAAAGCUAGGGGAGCGAAUGGGAUUAGAAACCCCGGUAGUCC